ACCAGGCAAUUGACUCAGCCCGGGAGGCAGAGGUGGUGGUAGUGGCGGUGGUGGUGGCGGAGGCAGCAGCGGCAGCCUUGACCUAUGUUCCCUGAUUGCCUGGGCCAGGGGUGGGAAGUGCCUGGCCAGGUGGUCUUAGUAGCUGUCCUUGGCCCAGGGCCGGUUGCGCUGCCAGUUCCUCUCAUUGUGGUUGUGCUCAGACUCACGCUCCAGGAGGCGGUCCUGUGAGUCGUGGCCAUUGGUGCUGUGGAGGCCGCUGUUGUGGUUGCGAUGAGGCUGGUACAGGUCAGUGUAGGCAUCUGAAUAUUCAUCCUCUAGGUGCCGGGAGCUGCGCUGAGAUGCUGCCGUCCAAGUUUUGCGGGAAGCGUUGCUGGCUUCGUCUGACUGCAUCAAGCUGUCAUGCUCCACCGGGGAGCACUCACUGCCGUGCUCGUUGCCCAACGGGGCCUGAUUCUGGACAGGAAAACGUAACGUGGGGUCACAAAAACUUCAAACUACACAGCACCCUCUAGUGGAGGCAGAGAAACUCAAGACAUCAGGUGAAUUCAAGGAGAACAAUGAGGCUGCUGAUCAAGAGACUUCAGGUGACCUCACACAAUACAGUUUUACAGUGCAAUGUCAAGCUUGUUGGAAAAGAAAGAAAAUAUGGGAUCGUCAACAGUGAAGAAUCAGCAAAUGAGAAAGACUGUAGGAAGUACUAGGGGCCCUGCAAUAUAGGAGAUUUGCUCUCUUGGAAUUGCAACAUAAGCAAGGGGCUGCACUCCUAAUUCAGCUGCUUUCCUAACCUCAUUCAUCCAAGGUAUAUCUGGCAUCAUUACCAAAUGUGACAGGUACAAGGUAAGUCUAACUCAGCUUCCCUUGCAGAGACUAAUCUGAAGUCACAGCAUUGGCAACAGUGGCUUAUUCUCAGGGAUCUGCAUGUGUGGCACUAAAAGUUUUUUAACAUGUGAUGCCCAGGAUACCAAAUCCAAAUCUUGUACUAAGGAAACAGAAACCUAUUCUGUAAUUGCUACUAUUUUGUGUGGUUUAAUGUGGUUUUGCUAGUUGUGUGGAAAGGCAAUGAGCUAUCUGUCUACGCUACGUAGUAAAGUUCUAGCCCUUAAAUUUUGACCAGCUCCUCUGGCUUCCAAGGGUGCUUUCACACACGAGCCUUUCUCUCUAGUAUUGACACCAUGUGCGCACUCGUUUCUUCCUGAGAAUCCAGACAAAUGAUCACACUGCUGUGCCACCCCCAUUUUUGUGACUUUUUAUAGCAAUUCUCUAUUCCUUCUCUUUUAGCUUCCAAUAUAGCUGCAACGCAAUUCUUCCCAGCGUGUACUGAGAUAGCAGUGCCCUUGUCUCACUCAGUAUGGAGGAGUGUCAGUGUGUUGUUGGUGAUAAUUAUACAAGUAACUCUCCCCUUCUAGCAUUACCUAUCCAACCACCCUUCCAGCAAUAUCUUUUUGGUCCCCUCUCUCUCAAGUGAAACUGGCAAGGAAAAAACAGAAGUCCUGACAUAGGUAAAACUGGCAAGGUGGAAGCCUUGUCAGGCAUUUUUCACAAAACAAACAAACAAAAUACGGUGCACACUAACACUAGUGAGCACACACAUGCUGUUUCUGAAAAUGGGGUGGCGAAUUAAAGCCUGCCUCAGUAGCAGUAGUUUAAUGCCCUUUCUACUUUUCAAAGAGUGCCUCUGAGCACAUGCAGAGGGCCUUUCCCUUGCCAUAUAUGGAAAAUUCUUGGACAAAAAAGUAAGGCUUGUGGAUCCAGCAUGUCAAAAGGUGCAACUUGAGAGCAGGAUCAGGCUUCAGCACUGCUCAUUUAGUUAGAAAUUAUUCAGUGGAUGGCUGCGCACACAAAACUCUUAAUAUUAAUGUGAAUCCGGAUGAAUGACUUGGAGUUUGGGUGGUGCUCUCUUCAGAGACAGGCAGACUGGGAGAAAGAGAUAUGGGACAGGGCUGACUAAGGAUAAUCAUCUCUACACUUUUUUGCUCCUCUGUAGAGGGUGCAGAGAAGACUACAUUUCCUAGCAUCCCCACAGCAAAGGGCCAAGGCUAGGGUCAGGGCAUGCAGAAACACUAAAGACUGAAGCAAUCCAGCCCAGUACUGGUAUUACGGAGAGUUAGGGUUACAAGAUAAAAUUGUAGAAAUACACACACACACACACACACACACAAUUUUGUCAGUCUGUAUCUGACCUUUAUUUCACCUAGACUCCUGAGCUGCUACCUAUUCCUAAGGAGCAAAAGUGCAUACUGAUUGGAUGGGUUGACCUUUGUCAUAUCAUGUCAUGUCAUAAACCUGGUCAUAUCAUUGCAUCAUUUUCACAGGCAAGUUCCUAUAAAUGUACAAUAGGUCUUAUGUUAAGUAUCUUCAGCAGGAGUUAGCAAGAAGUCAUGCUCCCUGGAUUCCAUGCUUCAUCUUCUGCCAGGAGGCCAGAGAGAAGAGCUUUUGACCUCUAACUCAAAUCCACCGCCUGGCGCUAUGCAUCUUCUAGUGCAGAGAUGGAGAAUCAAUGGCCCUCUGGGUGCUGCUGGGCUGCAUCCCCCAUCAUCCCUGGUCAUUGGCCAUGCUGGCUGGGGCUGAUGGGAGCUAGAACCCAACAACACCUGGACAGCCACAGUUCCCCCAUCUCUGUUCUGGUGCCAAGUAGAAUAUGAGUUAUCUUCCAAUUGCUCUCAACUCUUGAUUUCCUCCGUUCUCUUUCUAGGUAUUUCCAAUUGGGUAGGAUGAUCCUCCUCCCCGCAGGGUGGGAUAGCGAUUAUUGCCCUCCCAGCAUCACUGUGAUCACCCUGGGCUUGUGGUUAGCUAUUUCAUAUUUGAGCAAUGAGUCUUUCCAGAUGGCAAGAAAAAAUACUGUAUGUUGUGUUGUCAACAUGCGUUAAUUAGAUCAUGCAUAACUACAUAAAUCAUUGCUAAUGUGAACAUAACACCAGAAUAGUUUUAAACAAAAGUGUCUAUGGUUUAUUUCUUUUGUUUUCUGUUCACAAAAACACGUUAAGAUUUUGACAGGCAUCCAAACAUUUUCAAGCAUAUAAUUGCUGCCAUAAGGACUAGAAAGUUGCUUUUGUGAUUGUGUUUGGUUUGAAUAAAAAGAUUCUCAAGAAGUUGGAUUCUGUACCCAGUACCUCAUACAGCACUCCCUCGGAAUCAUGACAACCCCCCAGCCCUAUUUAUACUUUUACCUAGUGAUGGGGGAGGCGAUCGCCUGUUGCUGAUGGCAGGAUUUCCAGAUUGCCUAGUUGAGGAAGAAGAGAGAAAGUCAGUUUGACAACAGGAGAGAAAUGUUCAACUCAAGCUUCUCCGCAAAGCCUAGAAGAUUCAGCAGCCACCUAUAUAAAGCAUCCUCUC